rnacentral:rRNA from 1 species
CAGUAGCCGCGGUAAUACGUAGGUGACAAGCGUUGUCCGGAAUUAUUGGGCGUAAAGGGCUCGCAGGCGGUUUCUUAAGUCUGAUGUGAAAGCCCCCGGCUCAACCGGGGAGGGUCAUUGGAAACUGGGAAACUUGAGUGCAGAAGAGGAGAGUGGAAUUCCACGUGUAGCGGUGAAAUGCGUAGAGAUGUGGAGGAACACCAGUGGCGAAGGCGACUCUCUGGUCUGUAACUGACGCUGAGGAGCGAAAGCGUGGGGAGCGAACAGGAUUAGAUACCCGCGUAGUCCCUGUCUCUUAUAC